CUAACAAGUAUAGCUUGAAUAUAAGUUGGUGCACAUGUGGGAAUUGUGCCACAAUGCCCACUGAAAGAGAAAACGUUUGUUGCAGGGAGACCCCAAAAGUACUCAGAAGGAUGAACCAGCUCCAAAAUCCCCCCAUGUGCAUGACAGAACAUCCUGGCUUGGAACCUGUCUGCUUAAAUGUCUUCUCAUUACAGAAUGCAAGAAACAUUUAUAUGCAGGAUUAUGCCCAUUUACCAGUUCAAGGCAAUGAGAAGUAUGUUUCUGUUCUGCAUCCAAACAUUUAGAAUUUUUAAAAAAAUGAAUUGCCAAUGAGAUA